GAUGAAGGACGUAGCGAAAUGCGAUAAGUAGUGUGAAUUGCAGAAUUCAGUGAAUCAUCGAAUCUUUGAACGCACAUUGCGCCCCUUGGUAUUCCAUGGGGCAUGCCUGUUCGAGCGUCAUUUGUACCUUCAAGCUCUGCUUGGUGUUGGGUGAUUGUCUAUCUUUUUAGACUCGCCUUAAAGUCAUUGGCAGCCGGCAUAUUGGCCUGGGAGCGCAGCACAAGUCGCGCUUCUUGUCAUGAAUGUUGGCGUCCAGUAAGUCUACAUAUUUUGCUCUUGACCUCGGAUCAGGUAGGGAUACCCGCUGAACUUAAGCAUAUCAAUAAGCGGAGGA
rnacentral:misc_RNA from 1 species